rnacentral:rRNA from 1 species
GAUGAACGCUAGCGGGAGGCUUAACACAUGCAAGUCGAGGGGCAGCAUAGGGUAGCAAUACUCUGAUGGCGACCGGCAAACGGGUGAGUAACGCGUAUGCAACCUACCCUGUACAGGGGGAUAACCCGGAGAAAUUCGGACUAAUAUCCCGUAAUAAUAUCCGGAGGCAUCUUUGGAUAUUUAAAGUUCCGACGGUACGGGAUGGGCAUGCGUAACAUUAGCUGGUUGGUAAGGUAACGGCUUACCAAGGCUAUGAUGUUUAGGGGUCCUGAGAGGGUGGUCCCCCAACUGGUACUGAGACACGGACCAGACUCCUACGGGGAGCAGCAGUGAGGAAUAUUGGUCAAUGGGCGCAAGCCUGAACCAGCCAUCCCGCGUGCAGGAAGACGGCCCUAUCGGGUUGUAAACUGCUUUUCCAGGGAGAGAAACUUACGCACGUGUUGCGUGACUGACGGUACCUGGGAAUAAGCAUCGGCUAACUCCGUG